GUGACUGCGUACCUUUUGUAUAAUGGGUCAGCGACUUAUAUUCUGUAGCAAGGUUAACCGUAUAGGGGAGCCGCAGGGAAACCGAGUCUUAACUGGGCGUUAAGUUGCAGGGUAUAGACCCGAAACCCGGUGAUCUAGCCAUGGGCAGGUUGAAGGUUGGGUAACACUAACUGGAGGACCGAACCGACUAAUGUUGAAAAAUUAGCGGAUGACUUGUGGCUGGGGG
rnacentral:rRNA from 1 species